GGCGCGGUGGCAGAAUGGCGAUGCAGAGGAUUGCAAAUCCUUGAAUGCCGGUUCGAUUCCGGCCCGUGCCUCCA
rnacentral:tRNA from 2 species